rnacentral:rRNA from 1 species
GAUGAACGCUGACAGAAUGCUUAACACAUGCCAGUCUACUUGAACUUCGGUUUGGGUGGCGGACGGGUGAGUAACGCGUAAAGAACUUGCCACACAGUUAGGGACAACAUUUGGAAACGAAUGCUAAUACCUGAUAUUAUGAUUUUAGGGCAUCCUAAGAUUAUGAAAGCUAUAUGCACUGUGAGAGAGCUUUGCGUCACAUUAGCUAGUUGGAGAGGUAACGGCUCACCAAGGCGAUGAUGGGUAGCCGGCCUGAGAGGGUGAACGGCCACAAGGGGACUGAGACACGGCCCUUACCCCUGCGGGAGACAGGAGUGGAGAAUAUUGGACAAUGGACCAAAAGUCUGAUCCAGCAAUGCUGUGUGCACGAUGACCUUUUUCGGAAUGUAAAGUUCUUUCAGUUGGGAAGAAAAAAAUGACGGUACCAACAGAAGAAGUGACGGCUAAAUACGUG